GAUGAACGCUGGCGGUAUGCUUUACACAUGCAAGUCGUACGGAAAGUAUCUGAAUUUAUUCGUUUACUUUUAGUGGCGGACGGGUGAGUAACACGUGAGAAUCUGCCUUUAGGAGGGGGACAACAAAUCGAAAGAUCUGCUAAUACCCCAUAUGUCAUUCGAUGAAAUGGAUUUAUCCGCCUAAAGAGGAGCUCGCGUCUGAUUAGCUAGUUGGUAAGGUAAUGGCUUACCAAGGCGACGAUCAGUAACUGGUUUGAGAGGAUGAUCAGUCACACUGGAACUGAGACACGGUCCAGACUCCUACGGGAGGCAGCAGUGGGGAAUUUUCCGCAAUGGGCGAAAGCCUGACGGAGCAACGCCGCGUGAGGGAUGAAGGCCUCUGGGCUGUAAACCUCUUUUAUCAAGGAAGAAGAUCUGACGGUACUUGAUGAAUAAGCCACGGCUAAUUCCGUGCCAGCCGCCGCCGUAACAC
rnacentral:rRNA from 1 species